rnacentral:rRNA from 1 species
AACGAAUAAGAGGUCCCGCCUGCCCUGUGACUACAUGUUUAACGGCCGCGGUAUUUUGACCGUGCAAAGGUAGCGCAAUCACUUGUCUUUUAAAUGGAGACCUGUAUGAAUGGCUUUACGAGGGCUUAACUGUCUCCUUUUUCCCGUCAAUGAAAUUGAUCUCCCCGUGCAGAAGCGGGGAUCCCCCCACAAGACGAGAAGACCCUAUGAAGCUUUAGACAUCAAGGCAGACUACGCCAUAUAAUCCUAAAAUAAUAGAAUGAGCCACAUAAUCCCUGCCCGACUGUCUUCGGUUGGGGCGACCACGGGGGAAAGAAAACCCCCCACGAGGACCGGGAAUAUUCCCGCCUAAAACCCAGAGCCCUCGCUCCAAGUAUCAAAACCUUUUUGACCUGCCAGAUCCAGGACACCUGAUCUACGGAUAAAGUUACUCUAGGGAUAACAGCGCAAUCCCCUUAUAGAGGCCUUAUCGACAAGGGGGUUUACGACCUCGAUGUUGGAUCAGGACAUCCUAAUGGUGCAGCCGCUAUUAAGGG